rnacentral:rRNA from 1 species
CAGCCGCCACGGUAAUACGUAGGGUGCGAGCGUUAAUCGGAAUUACUGGGCGUAAAGCGUGCGCAGGCGGUUCGUUAAGACAGAUGUGAAAUCCCCGGGCUUAACCUGGGAACUGCAUUUGUGACUGGCGAGCUAGGGUAUGGCAGAGGGGGGUAGAAUUCCACGUGUAGCAGUGAAAUGCGUAGAGAUGUGGAGGAAUACCGAUGGCGAAGGCAGCCCCCUGGGCCAAUACUGACGCUCAUGCACGAAAGCGUGGGGAGCAAACAGGAUUAGAUACCCGAGUAGUCCCUGUCUCUUAUAC